CACUGAGGUUGGGCAGCCAUGGGAAAGGUCUUUAAAAAAAAAAAGAAAAGAAAAAACAAAAUUCAAAACCUUAAAAAAAAAACCCCAACUCCCCUCUCUGUAGAGGUAAUGUAGUGGGAAUGUGACUUUGUGACUGUGUGGGCAUGAGCCUGUGUCAGAGUCCCUGCAGGUGCUGUGUGAGACUAACGCAGAAAAGGCUUUUAAAGGGGGAAGGAGGGAAUUGUGCUGUGUUCAACACAAACCCACCCGAAAUUACAGCGGUCCACGAGAGCUAAGGACUUGGACAACUGUUCGCAUGCUGUCACGGAGGUACAAGACAACAACUUCACUCAGUAGUAAUAUUCCAUUCCCAACAAAUGGCUGUACCAGGAUUAUUUUCUGCAGCUGAAGUGGCAGCCUGGAGUGAGGUCAUGCUGAAGAUACUGCAGGGCAGAACCAGCAGAGUGAGUGCCCGUGCUGGACUCUUCAACCUCCAUGCAGAAAUGCAUAUGGUGUAUUCAAGGGUGAAUAUACUGCCUUGUGGCAGCUCUGCAAACUCUUCCCUUUUUGAAAAGAUACCUUUUAGGAUAUCUGCCUCCACC